AAGAGUAAAGUACUUCCGCUUCCUUAGGUGGAGCUGGAAAGGUGGAGGCGGAAGUGACUGAUCAAUUCAGGGGCGUGGGGUUCGUUUAGGUUUUGCCCUGUGUAUGACCUCGUUUGGAGCCAUGAAACCAGGUGGCUUUUCUACAAUAUAAAGAUGGAAAUGGGAUGAUGUUCAUUGCAAAUUAGGGAAGCUCUUCCACGAGUUCACGAAUGGAAAUAACAUCAAGAGUUUUUCAUCUUCUUAGUGUGCAAGGUAUGGAUAUUCUGUGUGUGAACUUCAAGAGUAUCUAAGGGAGGCAAUAACGUGGUUGAUAAUAUACCAGAGACUACAAACUGUCUGUGCAUCCCAGAGGAACAGGAAGCUUGUGCAGGUGAAAAGACUGGAGGAGGAAGUAUGUUGAUGAUACCCAGGAAGCCCACCUUCCACUUCUUUGGUCAUCAGAAGUAAGAAAAAGGACAAUUAAAUAAGUGGUUAAUAGUCGUUUAGAGAAAGAGAAUUUUCACUUUAUAUGCCAGUCAUUGAUAAUAUUUGCCAUAGUGGUUGCUGUUAAGUAAGUUUCUUCCUGCAGGCCUGUGAGAAGGCAUAGUACAUGAAAGUAGCAGUGCUUUCAACCUGAUUAUUAUUAUACAGUAUGGACUUUUAUUAUAUAACAAGCAAUACUUACAUUUUGUUAUUUACUUAUUUAUUACUAUACACUUACACAUAUGCAGACACAGUAAUAAACAUCUAAGUGGUACAAAUAGGUACAAAACCAAAAAUAAAAGUCUGCCUUCUAACUUC
rnacentral:antisense_RNA from 1 species